AGCGAACGCUGGCGGCAGGCUUAACACAUCCAAGUCGAGCGGGCACUUUCGGGUGUCAGCGGCGGACGGGUGAGUAACGCGUGGGAACGUGCCCUCUGGUUCGGAAUAACUCAGGGAAACUUGAGCUAAUACCGGAUACGCCCUUUUGGGGAAAGGCUUGCUGCCGGAGGAUCGGCCCGCGUCUGAUUAGCUAGUUGGUGAGGUAACGGCUCACCAAGGCGACGAUCAGUAGCUGGUCUGAGAGGAUGAUCAGCCACACUGGGACUGAGACACGGCCCAGACUCCUACGGGAGGCAGCAGUGGGGAAUAUUGGACAAUGGGCGCAAGCCUGAUCCAGCCAUGCCGCGUGAGUGAUGAAGGCCUUAGGGUUGUAAAGCUCUUUUAUCCGGGACGAUAAUGACGGUACCGGAGGAAUAAGCCCCGGCUAACUUCGUG
rnacentral:rRNA from 1 species